ensembl:snRNA U6 U6 spliceosomal RNA
GGGCUCGCUUUGGCAACACAUAUACUAAAAUUGGAAUGAUACAGAAAAGAUUAGCAUGGUCCUUUCACAAGGAUGGCAUGCAAAUCUGUGAAGGAAUAAAGGGUAGU